rnacentral:rRNA from 1 species
AUUGAACGCUGGCGGCAUGCUUUACACAUGCAAGUCGAACGGUAACAGGCCUUCGGGUGCUGACGAGUGGCGAACGGGUGAGUAAUGCAUCGGAACGUGCCCAGAGGUGGGGGAUAACGCAGCGAAAGCUGUGCUAAUACCGCAUGUGAUCUGAGGAUGAAAGCGGGGGACCAGGCAGCAAUGUUUGGCCUCGCGCCUUUGGAGCGGCCGAUGUCAGAUUAGGUAGUUGGUGGGGUAAAGGCCUACCAAGCCGACGAUCUGUAGCUGGUCUGAGAGGGCGACCAGCCACACUGGGACUGAGACACGGCCCAGACUCCUACGGGAGGCAGCAGUGGGGAAUUUUGGACAAUGGGCGCAAGCCUGAUCCAGCAAUGCCGCGUGCGGGAAGAAGGCCUUCGGGUUGUAAACCGCUUUUGUACGGAACGAAAAGGCUCUGGCUAAUACCUGGGGCUGAUGACGGUACCGUAAGAAUAAGCACCGGCUAACUACGUG